AGUCCUAUUCAUACCUGUCUUCGUAUAUCCCCAGUAAUAUGGUCUGGGGGUCUCUACCAGGCAACCGUAAAUUGCCCGGCUACGAAGGCGGGCCUUAGCUUU
rnacentral:ncRNA from 2 species